UCUCAAGCAGGUCAGGACUCUGUUAGUCAGUUCCUGAAGUUUCCUAUAAAAAGGAACCUCAGUGAUUCCCUCUUUGCCCAGUACUCAGGGAAAAUAACCCGAGAGAAGAGCCCAGGACCUCAGAGCCAACCACAACCCCCUAGAUGGUUCAGAGCCCGUGUACAAUCCGAGGCAGCCGUCUGACUUCUGAGCAGUGCCCUCAACACAGAAGCCAUUACAGAUCACAGACAUCGAGGGGCAUGGGCCCAUGUAAUGACACACCAGCAGAUGGAGAGGGGGUGGGCUCUGUGCCUAACUUGCCCUGAGACCCCAGGAGAGUAAGUCCACGAUCAUUCCUGUGUCAUGGUCUGAAGCAGAAGUCAAUGAUUAUUAAACUACCAAAGGGUACUCUCUUUCACUUUCUGAGCAUUUCCUGCAGGUGCUAGCCUGAGUGUCAACAUCUUCACUGUAAGAAGAUGCCUUUCCCUUCCAUCCUCCAUUCCACGGUCCUCCAGGCAUGUUUCUACGGACUCUUCUUGGUUUCCGUAGAUAGAAAAGAGCAUCUGGAAAGGGAAUGCUUGAAUCUGUUCUGCAAUACAGGGUACUCUGCCCCAAGUAACUUCCAUCCCGACCAAGCUCCUGGCGAAACUCAUCUGCAGCAUAAACAGACAUUACCAGCCAAGUCAACUGAAUGUUCCAAAGAAAUAAUGAUGAACUCACAGGGGAAAAUCAGAACAUCUUUGAGAAGUGCAAGCACUAUAUAAGACUUGGAAGAGAAAGAACAAAUGAAGUAACCUGUGAUAAUAUAAUAAGAAAUACAUUUUGAUCUCUGUUUCUGAACACAGAUUAAUGUCAUUGUGGGUGGCAGCAAUACUUUGUGUCUGGGUCUUAGUCUAUAAAGGUGACCGAAUGAUGACAAUGCCACCAAAAGGAAAGUUUAAUGUUACUCUCAGCUCCCCUGUGAAACAAGAGGCAUGGUAUUAGGGAAGCACCAGUGUUGUCAGGAGGCAGGAAGGAGCAAGGGGAAAGAACAGGCCACAGCCAUUCUGGGGGUUUCUGGGGGAAAGGCAGGGCAGGGUAAGCAGAUUAGAACUGCUAGUUUGAAUAAUUCCCACAGGCCAGAGGGGACAGGGGCUGUCCCUAGUUGUUCAGGGUAGCUUCGGGCAGGGGAAGUCCUGGCCUGGGGACUGUGAGUCAGAUAAGGGAGGGGGUGGGGAUGUGACUGGGAAUGGGUUGGCUCGCACCCGAAAUGGGGUCCCCCUAACAGUUUACUGUCUCUAGGAAUUAGCUAGCUCGGUGAGCCCCUAGGUAGCAAGGUUCCCCAAAGAUGUCAAAACAUUAAAAAACAUUAAAAAAAUAUAAUUAAUGGGGGGAGGCAUGGGAAGAGACUGCUUCGUGGGUAUGGAGCUUCCUCUAGGGGAGGUGAAAAUGUUUUGAAACCGGAUAAUGGUGAUGGUUGCACAACACUGAGAAUGUACUCAGUAACACGGAAUUGCAGAUUAAGAUGGUUUUAAAAAAUAGUUAAAAAAAAAAAUGGGGGAAGCAAAGAUCUAAUAAAGUUUCUUAUUGCCUGAGGUUUAAUUGUUUGAUGAGCAGUAAUAAUCAAUAGCCAUUUUUAAGGAAAGCGUAUCUGUAACUCAGGAGGGAAAUUCCAGAUGCGCCAGUCCUUGUAUACGCGGGUAUGAGUCUGCACGGAAUGGAGGGAGGUGAGAGAAAACCGAAGACUGAGGAGGCCGUGGACACUGAGAGCCUUAAAUCAAUGACAACAAAAAAUAAGUACA